rnacentral:rRNA from 1 species
GGAUGGUCAGCCACGCUGGGACUGAGACACUGCCCAGACUCCUACGGGAGGCUGCAGUCGAGAAUCUUCCGCAAUGGGCGCAAGCCUGACGGAGCGACGCCGCGUGGAGGAUUGAAGGCCUUCGGGUUGUAAACUCCUUUCAAGGAGAGACGAAUGGCCGUGCGUUAAUAGCGGGCGGUUUGACGGUAUCUCCAGAAGAAGCUCCGGCUAACCCUGUGCCAGCAGCCGCGGUAAUACAGGGGGAGCGAACGUUGCUCGGAAUUACUGGGCAUAAAGGGCACGUAGGCGGCUUUGCAAGUUGGAUGUGAAAGACCCUGGCUCAACCAGGGAAAUGCAUCCAAAACUGUGGAGCUAGAGGCCGAGAGGGGUGAGUGGAACUCCCGGUGGAGCGGUGAAAUGCGUUGAUAUCAGGAGGAACGCCGGUGGUGAAAACGACUCACUGGUUCGGUUCUGACGCUGAGGUGCGAAAGCUAGGGUAGCGAACGGGAUUAGAUACCCCGGUAGUCCUAGCCGUAAACGAUGGGCACUAGGUAGGGGGGGUUUCUAUGGCUCUCUCUGCCGAAGCUAAUGUGCUAAGUGCCCCGCCUGGGGAGUAUGCUCGCAAGGGUAAAACUCAAAGGAAUUGACGGGGGCUCACACAAGCGGUGGAGCAUGUGGUUUAAUUCGAUACCACGCGAAGAACCUUACCCGGAUUUGACAUGUACGGAUUAGCUUUCUGAAAGGAAAGUGACACCCUCUGGGUGGAACGUGCGCAGGUGUUGCAUGGCUGUCGUCAGCUCGUGUCGUGAGAUGUCGGGUUAAGUCCCAUAACGAGCGAAACCCUUAUCACUAGUUACCAGCGGUUCGGCCGGGGACUCUAGUGAGACUGCCGUUGUCAAAACGGAGGAAGGUGGGGACGACGUCAAGUCAUCAUGGCCCUUAUAUCCGGGGUGACACACGUGCUACAAUGGCCGGCACAACGGGUUCCAAGACCGCGAGGUGGAGGCAAUCCCUUAAAGCCGGUCCCAGUUCGGAUUGCAGUCUGAAACUCGACUGCAUGAAGUUGGAAUCGCUAGUAAUCGCGGAUCAGCCAUGCCGCGGUGAAUAUGUUCCUGAGCCUUGUACACACCGCCCGUCAAGCCACGAAAGCCGGGAGUGCCUGAAGUCGCUAGUCUAACCCGCAAGGGAGGGCAGUGCCGACGGCAAGCUCGGUGAUUGGGACUAAGUCGUAGCAAGGUA